rnacentral:rRNA from 1 species
GCUCGUGGAUCGAUGAAGACCGCAAGUUGAACGCAUAUUGCGCACCGUAAAACAGUACGAUGUACACAUUUUUGAGUGCCUAUAUUUAUCCAUUCAAAGCGCUGGCGCGAGGACAGACGCACCACGUACGUGCAGUGACGUUUUUCUGGUUCUCAGUAAAACGUUGAAUAUAAUCAGGCGCGCCCCACCCGGGUGCAGUUGAUGAAUACAUCCCCUAGACCAACGCACUUGGUUAUGUUGUAUUUCAUCGGCAGGCCAGCCGGCCACCACCACCCAGUAGGCCUCAAAUAAUGUGUGACUACCCCCUAAAUUUAAGCA